GGUGUGACUGAGGAGUUGGGUCACUGAUUGCAGUGGCACUGUUGUCCCAUCCUGAUGACCAGUGGUGACACAAACUGUGCACAGGGGCCAUCUAAGUCACU